rnacentral:rRNA from 1 species
AUUGAACGCUGGCGGCAUGCUUUACACAUGCCAGUCGAACGGCAGCGCGGGCUUCGGCCUGGCGGCGAGUGGCGAACGGGUGAGUAAUACAUCGGAACGUGCCCAGUAGUGGGGGAUAGCUCGGCGAAAGCCGGAUUAAUACCGCAUACGACCUGAGGGUGAAAGCGGGGGAUCUUCGGACCUCGCGCUAUUGGAGCGGCCGAUGGCAGAUUAGCUAGUUGGUGGGGUAAAGGCCUACCAAGGCGACGAUCUGUAGCUGGUCUGAGAGGACGACCAGCCACACUGGGACUGAGACACGGCCCAGACUCCUACGGGAGGCAGCAGUGGGGAAUUUUGGACAAUGGGCGAAAGCCUGAUCCAGCAAUGCCGCGUGUGUGAUGAAGGCCUUCGGGUUGUAAAGCACUUUUGGCGGGAACGAAAAGGACUGUGCCAAUACCACGGUUCGAUGACGGUACCUGCAGAAUAAGCACCGGCUAACUACGUG